rnacentral:lncRNA from 10 species
AUUUUUUUAAAUUAUGGUAAGGCGUGAGCCACCACACAUUGCCUCAUUUUUGUUUUUAAGAAGUGUAUGUGUCUAUAUAUGUUAUGUAGAUAUAUAACAGAAAAAAAUUCUGUAAGCUUAUAUGCCAAAAACUUACAGUUUCUAGGAGGUAGGAAAGUUGAUGGUUUUUAUUUUUAUUUGCUUUUCUCUUUGCCUUGUCUGUACUUUCAGAUUUUUCCACAUGGACUGUCUAUUACUUGUGUAAUCAAGAAACAAUAGAAGUUAAAUAUAUUUUAGAAACUCAUAUGCAGUUAUUAAUUUUGUAAGAGAUGGGGUGAGAGGAUCCAGAAUUUUGCCUCUAUUUAAGCUUUUAUUGAAUUAAAGUCUAAGAGUCUUUCACUGUUGGAAAGCUCUACUCAUUUAAACAUUCUUUCUGAUAUGGAACCAAAAUCUACCUUCCAUCCUUUGGUCCUAAUUUGUCCUAGGGAAUGCCACAAAAUAAGCAAAACCCAUCUCCUCUCCAAUAGAUGGACUUUCAGAUAUUUGGCAAUGGCUAUCAUGUCUCCAUAAAUCUUUCUUCCUCUAGAUUUUCCAUUCCAGUCUUUUUUUCUUUGAGAUAGUUUCCAGACCUUGAUACUAUCCCAUUGGCUUCUGGACAUUUUCCAGUUUAUCAAUAUGUUUAAAGUGUGGCACUCAGAAAUGACCACAACACUCCACCCUUUUUCUACAUUUCAUUCUCAGUUUCUAUAAAUUGUUGUGUUAGAGUUCUCUGACUAAAAAGUAAUUUCGGAAUACUUCCCAGUUCAGUGUGACUGUACUCUGAAUCCUAUCCUAUGAUUAUGCAGAAGGAGCAGGACUGAAAUAAUAAAAAAGAAAGAAAAAUAAUAAUGAAAAAAUUAAGAUUAUAUGAGAGACACUCAAUUAUCUAUCCCUCCAUCUUUUAAUUUCUAAGGUUAUAUAGAUGGAUAAAGCUUUCCAGAUCAAUUUCUCAUCCAGCCUCCUGCAAUUAUUAAAACAUUAGUAGAACUUUUUACCAAACAUUGAAAAAAAAAUGAGAGAGCUUCUCUACUGAUGGGGAAGGCAAAGGAUUCUCUGUAGCUUGGACAAGGAAUUUGAAGAAUCUCUUGUCCUAUACCAUUUUCUACUCUUUGUCCCAGUCGUUGGUACCAGUUUUUCUGGCUUUUGAUCAACAUUAGAGCUGAGUUAGACAAGGUCAAGCUGCAUGCAGAUUGAUUGGCCUCUCAACUGAGAGGCACCCCACAAGAUGAUAGUGAAAGGCCGGGGUUCAUGGUGAUGUGUAGAAUAUCAUUUCUUGUCCUUGGCAUGUUCUCAGCUCUCCUGCUAAACCCAGUGUACACCCUGAUCUUCUUACCAGCCUAAUGAGUCCUUUGCUUUUUAUUCUUUUUGCCAUUCCUCCUACAUAGUAGGCACUUGUUAUUAAAGUGUGAUAAAUAUAUGCACCAGCUCCAAAUAAUACUGAGCCCAACGACUUCCACCAUGCAUAUGGGCCUGUGUGCUUAGUUUUUCAAAAGAGUACUUGCUUAAUUGUAGGUACUGCAUCUUCGUACACAGGAUGCUUUAUAUUUCAUGCUUGCUAAGCAGAAAUAACUUUAAAUCUUCAAUUUUGAAGUUUUAUAUUUAUGCAGCUUUUAUUUUAUUUUUAUUUUUAUUUUUUAUUUUUGAGACAGUCUCACUCACUUUGUUGCCCAGGCUCGAGUGCAUUGUCAUGAUCUCGGCUCACUGCAACCUCUGCCUCCUCAGUUCAAGUGAUUCUCCUGCCUCAGCUUCCCAAGUAGCUGGGAUUAAUUUUUGUAUUUUUUAAUAGAGACAGGGUUUCACAUGUUGGCCAGGCUGGUCUUGAACUCCUGAGCUCAAGUGAUCCUCCUGCCUUACCCUCCCAAAGUGCUGGGAUUACAGGAGUGAGCCAUUGUACCCGGCCUUAUGCAGCUUUUAAAAUCAAUUUUAUUGAGGUAUAAUUUACGUAGUACAAAUUGCAGCCAUUUUAAGCUUACAACUAAGAUACAGACCAUUUCCUUUGCCACAGAAAAUGUCCACUGCCCCUUUGCAGUUAAUCCUCCUCCACACUCACUGCUGGCUCCAGGCUACACUGAUCUACUUUUCAUCACUGUAGAUUAGAUUUUCUUUUUAUAGAACUUCAUAUAUAUGUAAUCACACAAUAUGUACUCUUUUGUGUCUGGUUAUUUUUGCCUGGAAUAAUGUCUUUGAGAUCCAUCUGUGUUGCUUCCUCCAUCAGUAGUUCAUUACUUUUUAUUGCCAAAUCAUAUUUCACUGUAUAUAUGGUACAAUUUGUUUAUCCAUUCAUGUGUUGAUGGACAUUUGGGUUAUUUCCAGUUGAGAGUUGUUACUAAUAAAGCUGCUAUCAACAUUUGUGUUUAAGCCUUUGUGUGAACAUAUAUUUUAACUUAUCUUGAGUAAAUACCUACUAGAAUUGCUUUAUUAUAUAGUGAAUGCAUGCUUAGCUUUAUAAGAAAUUAGAAGCCUGUUUUCCCAAGUGAUUUUACCAUUUUAUAUCCCUACCGGCAGUGCAUGUUCAUUUAUGUAGUUCAUAUAUGUAGCUCUUUUAAACAAUGUUUUGAUUUUGAGAUCCUGAUUUUCAAAAUAAUUUGCUGUGUUAAACGUUGCUUGACAAAAGAAAGACAUCAAUGAGCGUGAGGGAAUAUGUUUAAAUAUGUCUAUUUUAUUUAAAAUGUUGAUCUAAUUUUUUUUUUUUUUUUUUUUUUUUUUUUUUUGCGACGGAGUCUUGUUCUGUCGCCCAGGCUGGAGUGCAGUGGCACAAUCUUGGCUCACUGCAACUUCCGCUUCCCGGUUUCAAGCGAUUCUCCUGCCUCAGCCUCCCAAGUAGCUGGGAUUACAGGUGCAUGCCACCACACCUGGCUGAUUUUUGUAUUUUUAGUACAGAUGGGGUUUCACCAUGUUGGCCAGGCUGGUCUCAAACUCCUGACCUCAGGUGAUCCACCCGCCUCGACCUCCCAAAGUGCUGGGAUUACAGGCGUGAGCCACUGCUUCUGACCAAUCAGAUUAUUUUUGUUUUUAAAGAAUUUAAUUUAUAGAUCUUGGGCCUUGGUAUUUAACCAGACACAAUUAUUCAUUACUAUUUAAAAUGAUCAGCUAAAUGGCAUACUUCCUUCAAAAGAAAAUCUAAUGUGAUCUAGAGAAUAAACUGACCUUUCUCUAGAGUCUCCUAAAAUUCUUAGGAAUAGCUUCAUAUGACAUUCUACUUCUUUUAUUUAACUUAGAAACUUGUGAAAAAGCAUAUUCAAUUAAAGAAAGGCUGUGACUUGCUGAAGUUCCAGUGAUCAGUGACAUACUAUAUAUCUAAGUGGCCUCCUGAACUCCCCCACUUACUGACAGGAAGAGAAUCUGAUUUCAUAGAUACUUGCCAAUGUCCUAUUGGUUAGGGGUGGCGGAUAUCUGGAAAGCCACAAAGCAUGGUAUCAUCCUUUGGAUCUUGGUGACAAGAAAUGAAUAAAAAAGCAAAGCAAAAUAAAACAAUAGAUGUACUUGGUCUAUUUCAUCAUACCAAGAUCUAAGGGUUUAUAAGAGCACAUUGUUACCAAGCAACAAGCUUUUUGCUAAUCACACUUUACCAAACUGAAACUCCAGCAUAAGGGCCAGGGUUGUCUGAAUCUUGUCUGUGGCUCCCCAAAUGUGGGCAGGAGAGGGAAGGCAUUUGUGUAGUAGAUAAUGAAGUCCCCCAUUCAACAGGGUGUCAGCGAAAGGAAUCUGAUGUUUCCGUUCCUUAACUGUGAAAUCAGGGAUAAUGUGCUUGCCUUUGGGGAUUUCUGUCCUCUCCUAGAUGGUCCACACUGAACAGAUCCAACAUUGUGUUCCUUUGUGUCACAGAGCCUACAUAACCCAUCACAUCUGUGGGCUAUGAGGGGUCAUUAGGCAAUGCCAGCCCUGCACCAUCGAUCUAACCCCUUCUACUCUUAGCUUUUUAGUUUCCAUAAGAAGCUUUUCCUUACCCUCCAAUUUCCUCUAAGCGAUUUAAAAAUAUUUAUUCUACACAUGGGUUCAUCUACUCCAAUGCUCACAUUCCAGGGUUACUACAUUAUAUUGACUUUUUCUUGAUUGUAAGUAAGCCUUUCAGGGAACGUGGGUUCGUCUGUGUGACUUCGUGGAAUUCUCAUUAUUCAAUGAGAACUAAAACCAGAGAAAGACAUAUCUCUGGUUCACAGUCUUUUUUUCUUUUUUUUUCUUUUAGACAGGAUCUCACUUUGUCACCCAGGCUGGAAUACAGUGGUGUGAUCUUGGCUCACUGCUGCCUCAACCUCCUAGGUUCAAGUGAUCCUCCCACCUCAGCCCCCAAAGUAGCUGGGACUACAGGUGCAUGCCACCACUCAUGGCUAAUUUGUUAUUUUUUGUAGAGAUGGGGUUUCACCAUGUUGCCCAGGCUGGUCUUGAACUCCUGAGCUCAAGUGAUCCCUCGGCCUCCCAAAGUGGUAGGAUUAACCAGUGUGAGCCACUGCACCUGGCCUGGCUCAAAGUCUUUGACCGAGUAGUUCGGAAUCCAAUAUUAUUUCCUAUGGAUGAAAAUGACUUUUUUUUUUAAGAUACAAAGAUGACUUCUCAGGAAGUCGAAUAGCAGUAGUAUACUUUGAGAGACUAAGCAGGUUAACAGGACCAAGGUGCUGUCUCUCUAAUGAUGUAUUAUUUAUUGUCAGUUAGAUUCUGCUUCCUCCAUAAAAGGACUUGAAUUAGAGACAGCUGAAGCUGAUAGGGUUCGUCUUUAGUUUCUUUCCACCUUGCUUUCUGCUGCUUCUUUCCCUCCAGCUCCCGACCCCCAACAGCUCAGAAUCUACCCUGCUCUGACCUCUUCCAAAAAAGGGCCUAUGCUCCCAAGGCACAUCAUCUUCCCCUCUUCUAAUCAAAACCUCCCAUCCUAGCAAGGCUGAAAUCAAUUUGGACAUUCUGAUUAAAGUUCUUCAUAGGAAAAUUAAAGUGACUAAUAAAUUUAACUCUGGGGAGAGGUGUUUUAAAGCAGUAAUUUAGUUCUAAUCUCAAUUGUUGGCAUUGGGAAGGCAGUCAGGGAAUGCUGCAGCAGGGAGCCUCUGUCCCCUUCCUGUCCCCUCUCCAAGUCUCCCCUAAGCAUGACAUGGAGUGGGGAGAAGCUAAUAGGCUCUUCUCUCCUGUAUUCCCAUUAUUGUCUCCAUUUAUUUAGGAGGAAACUGAGGUUUGGGAAGGUUAGUCACUUUACCGAAGUUUCUUCCUAAACCAGCGGGGACAAUAAAGGUACCUACCUCAUAGGGUCA